GAUGAACGCUGACAGAAUGCUUAACACAUGCAAGUCUACUUGAAUUUGGGUUUUUUAACUUCGAUUUGGGUGGCGGACGGGUGAGUAACGCGUAAAGAACUUGCCUCACAGCUAGGGACAACAUUUGGAAACGAAUGCUAAUACCUAAUAUUAUGAUUUUAGGGCAUCCUAAGAUUAUGAAAGCUAUAUGCGCUGUGAGAGAGCUUUGCGUCCCAUUAGCUAGUUGGAGAGGUAACGGCUCACCAAGGCGAUGAUGGGUAGCCGGCCUGAGAGGGUGAUCGGCCACAAGGGGACUGAGACACGGCCCUUACUCCUACGGGAGGCAGCAGUGGGGAAUAUUGGACAAUGGACCAAGAGUCUGAUCCAGCAAUUCUGUGUGCACGAUGAGGUUUUUCGGAAUGUAAAGUGCUUUCAGUUGGGAAGAAAAAAAUGACGGUACCAACAGAAGAAGUGACGGCUAAAUACGUGCCAGCAGCCGCGGUAAUACGUAUGUCACAAGCGUUAUCCGGAUUUAUUGGGCGUAAAGCGCGUCUAGGUGGUUAUGUAAGUCUGAUGUGAAAAUGCAGGGCUCAACUCUGUAUUGCGUUGGAAACUGUGUAACUAGAGUACUGGAGAGGUAAGCGGAACUACAAGUGUAGAGGUGAAAUUCGUAGAUAUUUGUAGGAAUGCCGAUGGGGAAGCCAGCUUACUGGACAGAUACUGACGCUGAAGCGCGAAAGCGUGGGUAGCAAACGGG
rnacentral:rRNA from 1 species